rnacentral:tRNA from 1 species
GGGGAAUAGCUCGGUGGUAGAGUGAAUGCUUAGCAUGCAUGAGGUCCUGGGUUCAAUUCCCAGAAUCUCCG